rnacentral:sRNA from 1 species
AUCUGGCAGGGACACCGUCGCCCCACUGAUCCCCAGGGCUGGUUCAGGUGACCGGGCUGGUCAAGCGGGCGUCCCCUU